UACGUAGGCAGCGAGCGUUGUUCGGAAUUACUGGGCGUAAAGCGCACGUAGGCGGCUUUGUAAGUUAGAGGUGAAAGCCCGGGGCUCAACCCCGGAAUUGCCUUUAAGACUGCAUCGCUUGAAUCCGGGAGAGGUGAGUGGAAUUCCGAGUGUAGAGGUGAAAUUCGUAGAUAUUCGGAAGAACACCAGUGGCGAAGGCGGCUCACUGGACCGGUAUUGACGCUGAGGUGCGAAAGCGUGGGGAGCAAACAGG
rnacentral:rRNA from 1 species